CAGUCCGUGAUGGAAGAAGGUAAGGGCAGAAACUCAAGAAGGCGGGCCUCUUGCUGGUCCAUGCAGCAUCACCUCUGACCUGGGAAUUCGCAUAGCCGAAAAAGGACAGCAGAAACCAUGGAGGAAAGGUCAAACUGGACAGCAAGCGCCUCUACCCGCUGAGCCCUCGCACACCUGACCACUGCAACGAGUGCUUGUCACCAUCAGUUUCUCAAACCCCUUCCUGUUGCUGCCGGCGGUUUUUACUACAGCCACGCUCAGAAAGGUCGUGUAUUCUCUCCUUGAAGCAGCUGGAGUGAAGGAGGGUGUUUAGUAAUCUGAACACUCCAGUUUCUAUGAAUAUAUUAGAAGACAUGAUAGAGCCAUCUUUCAUGAGAAGCAUUCAAGGAAGACAUCUCUGGAAUUCCUGUUUUCCUCUUGAAAGUGCCUUUGAAAACCAGUGCGCCACAGACAGCUUUGGGAGGUCUGCCCUGCCCUCUACUGUUCCUCAAAGUAAAUGCAGCCAACAUCCACAUUUACUGUAUGUGCAUGAU